rnacentral:rRNA from 1 species
UACGAAGGGGGCUAGCGUUGCUCGGAAUCACUGGGCGUAAAGCGCACGUAGGCGGAUCUUUAAGUCAGGGGUGAAAUCCUGGAGCUCAACUCCAGAACUGCCUUUGAUACUGGGGAUCUCGAGUCCGGAAGAGGUGAGUGGAACUCCGAGUGUAGAGGUGAAAUUCGUAGAUAUUCGCAAGAACACCAGUGGCGAAGGCGGCUCACUGGCCCGGUACUGACGCUGAGUGAGCGAAAGCCAGGGGAGCAAAGCGGG